UCUUCUAAAAAAGUGGCGCGAGAUGACACCUGUGGGAGAGUAGACGCGGUAAACAGCUGCUGUCCGUGGCUGGCCCACGCGUCAACGAGUACGAGAAGCACUUCUGUCCCCCACCGCCCCUAUAGGAUUCAGGAACCUUCUUCUUCACUAGACCAAUGCGAGUUGUUCCCCAAAUCCACUGUCGCGCGCCAUUGCCGCUCAAUCUCCGCUCACAUCCAACCAGAAGCACUUCUGUCCCCCCCCCCACCGCCCCCUCAAACCCCCCGUAGGCGCUGCAUCCACGUUCACGUCGCUUGAGGAGGUGAGCAGUCGGAUCUGGCUAGGUGCGCAGUCGCGCGCCAUUUGUUUUUUUCUCGUGAGCGCCCUCUGCCAUCCCGCCUCCUCCUGGUAACGCGCUGCUCAAGAUUACUGGAUCUGGUGAGUCACCGUUCAGAGUUGGGUUCAUGUUCCUGGGGCGCUUCUUCUUACGUUCGCAGGCGGAGCGUCCGUGGAGGAGGCGGCGGGGUAUUGAUGGAAGUGGUACCCUUGAUGGACAGACACUGGUUCCCCUUGGCUAGACAGAUUUCAAACUGAAUAUGAGGUUGUCUCUAUCAGCAGCAAGGGAAGAAAACUUGACGGUUAAUCCUGGAAGAUGGCGAGUGCUCUAUCUUGGAGACUUGGAAGAUGGCGAAUCUUGGAAGAACAUCAAAAGGAUGGAAACACCUUGCCACGGUAAUAGCGCCAGAACAGCCGUCGACGGCUUCAAGCUCCUACUUGUGUUUCCGGCGUUUGGCUGUUGCGGCUGUAUGGAGUCAGCAAGCAUGUCCGGCUGAAAAGGCUGGAGUCAGGUACAGCCAGUCAGCAAGCAUGUACGGCUGUAAAGGCUGGAGUCAGGCGGCGGCUGUACUGCUGCUAGGCGGCGGCUGUACUAGGACUUAAAUUGAUGUUACUCGGUGGGCUGUACCAUGCUGAUUUGUACCUCACGUGUGUAUAUGGACCUGGUCGAUGUGGGCUUUUUUGGGCACAAUAGAUUGCAACAUGACAUGUAUGGGUGUAGACAUAUAUGGAUCUAGACAUUAUAUUAUAUAUUAUAUUUAUUCUUCAUGUUUAUAUUA